AGCAGCCGCGGUAAUUCCAGCUCCAAUAGCGUAUAUUAAAGUUGUUGCAGUUAAAAAGCUCGUAGUUGAAUUUCGGGAUUGACGUGAUGGUCGUGCCUUAAGGGGUAUGAACUGUUGCUGUUGAUUUCUCCCCUUCUGGAGAAACUUGAUGUCCUUAAUUGGGUGUCUUGCGGAUCCAGGACCUUUACCUUGAAAAAAUUAGAGUGUUUAAAGCAGGCAUUUUGCUCGAAUACAUUAGCAUGGAAUAAUAGAAUAGGACGGCAUGGUUCUAUUUUGUUGGUUUCUAGGAUCACCGUAAUGAUUAAUAGGGAUAGUUGGGGGCAUUAGUAUUCAAUUGUCAGAGGUGAAAUUCUUGGAUUUAUUGAAGACUAACUACUGCGAAAGCAUUUGCCAAGGAUGUUUUCAUUAAUCAAGAACGAAAGUUAAGGGAUCGAAGACGAUCAGAUACCGUCGUAGUCUUAACCAUAAACUAUGCCGACUAGGGAUCGGAUGAUGUUAAUUUUUAAUGU
rnacentral:rRNA from 1 species